AUAUCAAUAAGCGGAGGAAAAGAAACCAACAGGGAUUCCCCUAGUAACGGCGAGUGAAGAGGGAACAGCUCAAUUUUGAAAUCUCGCGGGUCACCCGUGCGAAUUGUAGUUUCGAGAAGCGUUUUCGGGGGCGGGCUGGGUAAAGUCCGUUGGAACGCGGCAUCAUAGAGGGUGAGAAUCCCGUCUUUGAUCCGGACUCCGCUCCUAUGUGAUACGUUUUCAAAGAGUCGGAUAGUUUGGGAAUGCUGUCCAAAAUGGGUGGUAAAUACCAUCUAAAGCUAAAUAUUGGCGAGAGACCGAUAGCGCACAAGUA
rnacentral:rRNA from 1 species